rnacentral:tRNA from 2 species
ACCCGUCUAGCUCAUCGGUAGAGCGCUGGCCUUUUAAGCCAGUGGUCGUGGGUUCGAUCCCCACGGGGGGUG